rnacentral:misc_RNA from 1 species
UGGCGAGCUUCGCAAAUAGAG